ACAGGCAGCCUAAAGGCUGCACUACCACAUCCUAUGCUAGUCUAGAUGCAGUAGACAGAACUUAUUUAUGUUUCCACGAGAACUACCCAGCACACAGUGAAAGGACCACGUUCAAGGCAUCUCUGUCAAACCACAGUGGGAGAUGCAUUUAGCAGAUAACAGAACUGAAGAUUGCUGGAAAAGCCGCUGUUUGCUUAAUCACUUGAGGUGCAAAGCCCUGCAGCAAUACAACUAGCUGCAGCAUUCGGAGCCAUCGCUACACAAGCAGUGGGAGCCAUAUGGAUUUAACGACUCACCACCAGUAAAGAGAAAACCAGAACCUUGGUUGUUUAAACACAGGCCUCUACUAUUUAAGUUACAAAACAACACUGGCUGACAACAGCAACAGCUUUGUACCUGUCACCCAAACUGGCCACUAGAAAAGAACUAAUUAAUCAAGAUACUUCCCAAUUUCCAUCAGCAUCUCACUGGUACCACAGCAGUUUCUACAGCUUGGGCUGUAGACACACUUCUUUUGCAGGAGAACAAGGCCCGACAUCUCUGACAGAAGCCUCUGGCACUUGACCUAGGAAGCCAGAUUUGGCACCGUCACUGGCAGCAGGAAACAGACCAGUUAAGAUCCCACUGCCAUGAGCAGGCUGGCCUGGAUCAGCAUUCCCCAAGGUUUGUAAAAUGAAGGACUACCCAGUAAUCAACAAAGGCCCCUGCACUUUCUGUAGAGGAUACCCAUGAAGGACAGCUUAAGCAUUACUGCCACAAAAGUUUCAAUUUACAAACA